GUCGAAAUCCCAGCUCUGCUCUAUUUUUGUUCUCAACCACUUCCAUAACUCGACUCCAUCUGUCAGUGCUUCCAGUCUGAACAAUCUCUUUGGCAUCCUUUAAAGAAGACAUGGGUGCCCCAGCUUUCUUUAAUUCAUCAGCAAUAGACAAAGCUUGGAACGAUGUUCCAACCUCCUCCUCAACAUCAACAUAAGUAAAGGAUGACAAAUGGCUUACCAAUAAUUCCU
rnacentral:lncRNA from 1 species